rnacentral:rRNA from 1 species
UAAAACGUAGGAGGCAAGCGUUAUCCGGAUUUACUGGGCGUAAAGCGCGUGCAGGCGGUUUGUUAAGUUGGAUGUGAAAGCUCCUGGCUCAACUGGGAGAGGUCGUUCAAAACUGGCAAACUUGAGGGCGGUAGAGGGAGGUGGAAUUCCGUGUGUAGUGGUGAAAUGCGUAGAUAUACGGAGGAACACCAGUGGCGAAAGCGGCCUCCUGGACCGAUCCUGACGCUCAGACGCGAAAGCUAGGGGAGCAAACGGG